CCCAUUGAGCUGGAAACAAGCUAAACGAAGCUCAGCGAGAUGCAAUUGAGCUAAUUUAGCUCGCAUGGGUGUGCAAGAAAUACUUAUGGAGCUGAUCGAAAAAUGUGCCCGAGGCGUGGUCGUAUCAUCCCCUCCCUCUUUAAGGCGAUUUGUCCUCAAAUCGGGCCAUUUGUUCGAGAAAUUUUUUUUUAAGAUCUCAAACCCUUUUGUUCAUGAUCCGAAUAGAAUCAUUUCCUAAACUUUGAAAAUCACAAAUGGUUCGAUAAGAAAUUGAAUUAUUUCCACGCCCUCCCUCUUUAAGAGGGAAACAAUUUAGAGUGUCACCUACACAAGAAUGAAAGGAAUUAGAGACACUAAAAAUUAUAAACACAAAUGAUAUUUUUAGAUGCUUAUUCAAAAUUGGGAUGCUUAACCCAAUGCCAGGAUCAAAAAUGAAAUUCGGUCUUA
rnacentral:lncRNA from 1 species